CCACACAGCAUUGUAUCCAGAGUCUGUCCCCAGACAUUGCACCUGGGGCUGUUAGACUGUGAUUUAAGUGAGUU
rfam:Mus musculus BAC clone RP24-376E16 from chromosome 12, complete sequence.